UAAACGGCGGCCGUAACUAUAACGGUCCUAAGGUAGCGAAAUUCCUUGUCGGGUAAGUUCCGACCUGCACGAAUGGCGUAACGAUGGCUACACUGUCUCCUCCCGAGGCCCAGCGAAAUUGAAGUGGUUGUGAUGAUGCAAUCUACCCACGGCUAGACGGAAAGACCCCGUGAACCUUUACUGCAGCUUUGUACUGAGCUUUGAGGCUGGGCGCGUAGGAUAUGUGGGAGACUAUGAAGCAGGGCAACAGCCCUGCCGAGUCGCAGGUGAAAUACCACUCACCUCGCCUCAACCCUCUAACCAGCGCCAUUACCUGGCGCUGGGACAGUGCAUGGUAGGCAGUUUGACUGGGGCGGUCUCCUCCCAAAGCGUAACGGAGGAGCACAAAGGUACGCUAAGCACGUAUGGAAAGCGUGCCGAAAGUGCAAUGGCAUAAGCGUGCUUGACUGCGAGACAAACGUGUCGAGCAGAUGCGAAAGCAGGUCAUAGUGAUCCGGUGGUUCUGUAUGGAAGGGCCAUCGCUCAACGGAUAAAAGGUACUCCGGGGAUAACAGGCUUAUACCGCUCGAGAGUUCUUAUCGACAGCGGUGUUUGGCACCUCGAUGUCGGCUCAUCUCGUCCUGGGGCUGAAGUAGGUCCCAAGGGUAUGGCUGUUCGCCAUUUAAAGAGGUACGUGAGCUGGGUUUAAAACGUCGUGAGACAGUUUGGUCCCUAUCUACCGUGGGCGCAGGAUACCUGAGGGGAGCUGCUCCUAGUACGAGAGGACCGGAGUGGACAAACCUCUAGUGUGCCGGUUGUCAUUUCAAUGGCAUCGCCGGGUAGCCACGUUUGGCAGGGAUAACUGCUGAAGGCAUAUAAGCAGGAAGCCUACCCUAAGAUUAGGUAUCCCAUAAUUGAAGGGCCGUUCAAGACAAGAACGUUGAUAGGCUGGGUGUGUAAGCGUAGCGAUACGUUGAGCUGACCAGUACUAAUUGCGCCCGUUAGACUUAAUCCU
rnacentral:rRNA from 1 species